rnacentral:rRNA from 1 species
UCUGGUGUCCUAGGCGUAGAGGAACCACACCAAUCCAUCCCGAAUUUGGUGGUUAAACUCUACUGCGGUGAUGAUACUGUAGGGGAGGUCCUGCGGCAAAAUAGCUCGAUGCCAGAA